rnacentral:rRNA from 6 species
UCCCAUCCCGAACUCAGAAGUGAAACGAUGCAUCGCCGAUGGUAGUGUGGGGUUUCCCCAUGUGAGAGUAGGUCAUCGUCAAGA